CACUGUACUGACCUGUCACACACUGAAGGUCUAUAGGUUCACCACUGUACUAACCUGUCACACACUGAAGUCCUAUAGGUUCACCACUGUACUAACCUGUCACACACUGAAGACCUAUAGGUUCACCACUGUACUAACCUGUCACACACUGAAGACCUAUAGGUUCACCACUGUACUAACCUGUCACACACUGAAGGCCUAUAGGUUCACCACUGUACUAACCUGUCACACACUGAAGGUCUAUAGGUUCACCACUGUACUAACCUGUCACACACUGAAGGCCUAUAGGUUCACCACUGUACUAACCUGUCACACACUGAAGGUCUAUAGGUUCACCACUGUACUAACCUGUCACACACUGAAGGUCUAUAGGUUCACCACUGAAGACCUAUAGGUUCACCACUGUACUAACCUGUCACACACUGAAGGCCUAUAGGUUCACCACUGAAGACCUAUAGGUUCACCACUGUACUAACCUGUCACACACUGAAGGCCUAUAGGUUCACCACUGUACUAACCUGUCACACACUGAAGGUCUAUAGGUUCACCACUGUACUAACCUGUCACACACUGAAGACCUAUAGGUUCACC
ensembl:lncRNA